UACCUAAAUCUUAUCUAUCAUUUUUCAAUCAUUUUCGUAUGACGAAGCUUGUAGUGAACUACCACGGUCUGUUGGGGUUACUGUUGGGAAUAGUAUCCCAAAGCCAAUCGUCAGUCUAUUGACGAUUGUGCUUAUUUUUAUAUAUGUACAUAAAUUAUGAAUUAAUAAAAAUUAUUUUGAUAUUUUUCAUCACAAAAUAUUUCAUCUUCUAAUGAACUCCUAUGUUGUGGUGAAGUCCUUAGGACUAUUUAGACUCGACAAAGGAGGAUUUGUUGUUUAGUCCUUAAAUCUGUUCGCGACCAAAUGAUACGUUGUUACCAAAGACGAUAACGUUUAUCAAGCAUAGAUCGUUAUGUGUCAUAUAGGUUGGUUGUCCUCUUAACCAAUGAGUGUGGAGACACUGGUAUGGCAUACAAGUGAGAUGUAAGGGUACAUCUGCACUGAACGUGACCGACUCCAGAUCUAUUUCUGCUGUCAAGAUUUGCUCCGAUGGAAUAUGGAUAUAAAUGUCCCUUCGACCUGAGACUGCC
rnacentral:lncRNA from 1 species